GCUGAUGCGUUGUUGGGUAGGGGAGCGUUCUGUAAGCCUGCGAAGGUGACCUGUGAGGGUUGCUGGAGGUAUCAGAAGUGCGAAUGCUGACAUAAGUAACGAUAAAGCGGGUGAAAAGCCCGCUCGCCGGAAGACCAAGGGUUCCUGUCCAACGUUAAUCGGGGCAGGGUGAGUCGACCCCUAAGGCGAGGCCGAAAGGCGUAGUCGAUGGGAAACGGGUUAAUAUUCCCGUACUUGGUGUUACUGCGAAGGGGGGACGGAGAAGGCUAUGUUGGCCGGGCGACGGUUGUCCCGGUUUAAGCGUGUAGGUGUGUGUUCCAGGUAAAUCCGGUUCACUUUAACACUGAGGCGUGAUGACGAGGCACUACGGUGCUGAAGCAACAAAUGCCCUGCUUCCAGGAAAAGCCUCUAAGCAUCAGGUAACAUCAAAUCGUACCCCAAACCGACACAGGUGGUCAGGUAGAGAAUACCAAGGCGCUUGAGAGAACUCGGGUGAAGGAACUAGGCAAAAUGGUGCCGUAACUUCGGGAGAAGGCACGCUGACACGUAGGUGAAGUGAUUUACUCACGGAGCUGAAGUCAGUCGAAGAUACCAGCUGGCUGCAACUGUUUAUUAAAAACACAGCACUGUGCAAACACGAAAGUGGACGUAUACGGUGUGACGCCUGCCCGGUGCCGGAAGGUUAAUUGAUGGGGUCAGCGCAAGCGAAGCUCCUGAUCGAAGCCCCGGUAAACGGCGGCCGUAACUAUAACGGUCCUAAGGUAGCGAAAUUCCUUGUCGGGUAAGUUCCGACCUGCACGAAUGGCGUAAUGAUGGCCAGGCUGUCUCCACCCGAGACUCAGUGAAAUUGAACUCGCUGUGAAGAUGCAGUGUACCCGCGGCAAGACGGAAAGACCCCGUGAACCUUUACUAUAGCUUGACACUGAACAUUGAGCCUUGAUGUGUAGGAUAGGUGGGAGGCUUUGAAGUGUGGACGCCAGUCUGCAUGGAGCCGACCUUGAAAUACCACCCUUUAAUGUUUGAUGUUCUAACGUGGACCCGUAAUCCGGGUUGCGGACAGUGUCUGGUGGGUAGUUUGACUGGGGCGGUCUCCUCCUAAAGAGUAACGGAGGAGCACGAAGGUUGGCUAAUCCUGGUCGGACAUCAGGAGGUUAGUGCAAUGGCAUAAGCCAGCUUGACUGCGAGCGUGACGGCGCGAGCAGGUGCGAAAGCAGGUCAUAGUGAUCCGGUGGUUCUGAAUGGAAGGGCCAUCGCUCAACGGAUAAAAGGUACUCCGGGGAUAACAGGCUGAUACCGCCCAAGAGUUCAUAUCGACGGCGGUGUUUGGCACCUCGAUGUCGGCUCAUCACAUCCUGGGGCUGAAGUAGGUCCCAAGGGUAUGGCUGUUCGCCAUUUAAAGUGGUACGCGAGCUGGGUUUAGAACGUCGUGAGACAGUUCGGUCCCUAUCUGCCGUGGGCGCUGGAGAACUGAGGGGGGCUGCUCCUAGUACGAGAGGACCGGAGUGGACGCAUCACUGGUGUUCGGGUUGUCAUGCCAAUGGCACUGCCCGGUAGCUAAAUGCGGAAGAGAUAAGUGCUGAAAGCAUCUAAGCACGAAACUUGCCCCGAGAUGAGUUCUCCCUGAGACUUAGAGUC
rnacentral:rRNA from 2 species